rnacentral:misc_RNA from 1 species
UUUUGCUUUUAUUUAUAUUUUGACUCAGAAGUAAUACACGAUUUAUUCAAGAGUUUAAUUGGGCUAUCGACGGACGCGGGCCAGAGGAUCUAUAACGACCCUCCGGCGGUCCUUUCGGACGGGUCCGCCGAAGCAACAUGGGUUGGGUAGACAAAGGGUUGGGAGGUCGGGCCGGUGAAGACCCUCACUCAUUAAUGAUCCUUCCGCAGGUUCACCUACGGAAA